GGAAGCUGUAUCUCUGAUUUCUGCUCCAAAGUAUCCUGAGAAGCAGGUUGGAUAUAUAGUGACAUCAUGUUUGCUCAAUGAGAAUCAUGAUUUUUUGAGAUUAGCAAUUAAUACUGUACGCAAUGACAUAGUCGGACGCAAUGAGACUUUCCAGUGUCUAGCGUUGACAUUGGUUGGAAAUAUCGGGGGGAGGGAAUUUGCAGAAUCUCUAGCUCCUGAUGUUCAAAAGUUACUUAUAUCAAGCAGUUGUAGGCCACUGGUGAGGAAGAAAGCUGCACUAUGUCUCGUACGUCUUUUCAGGAAAAAUCCUGAUGUCAUGAAUGUAGAUAGCUGGUCAGAUCGGAUGGCACAACUGCUAGAUGAACGAGAUUUAGGUGUUGUGACAUCUUCCAUGAGCCUUCUAGUUGCAUUAGUGUCAAAUAACCACGAAGAAUAUUGGAGUUGUCUUCCCAAAUGUGUUAAAGUAUUGGAAAGGCUUUCAAGGAACCAAGACGUACCACAAGAAUAUACCUACUAUGGGAUUCCAUCUCCAUGGCUGCAGGUAAAGGCUAUGAGGGCUCUACAAUAUUUUCCUACUAUUGAGGAUCCAGAUACUAGAAGAUCAUUGUUUGAGGUCUUGCAGAGGAUAUUGAUGGGAACUGAUGUUGUAAAAAAUGUAAAUAAGAACAAUGCAGCGCAUGCUGUUCUCUUUGAAGCCCUUGCUCUUGUAAGUAUAUUUUUCAAUAAUCUUUUUAACAUGUGACAUGUUUUAUGGAACAAUGUUCAUAAUUAAAUUGUAGUAUGUCAUUUUGAUUGAGACAAGUUUUUAAAUAUAUUUGGAUAAAACAACAUUAUAUUGGCUGAACUUGCUGAAACUAAUGAGAAGUUUCUGAAAUAUUUUAAAAUUUAUAAUUUGGUUUCUUGAUAGGUUUCCUCCCCUAUAUUGUGAAUGUAGAAUUUUUUCUACAGCAAAAAGAAACAUGAUUGUUUCUUGAUGCAAAUGUCUACAUACACACGUAAUUCUUACUCCUUAUUAAUAACAAAGAUGAAUGUGUUAAUGUAUAUCUGGUUGUUAGUGCCUCUCUCUCUCUCUCUCUC
rnacentral:misc_RNA from 1 species